rnacentral:lncRNA from 1 species
UGACCUCAGAGUUAAUAUUCCACCAGCAAGCGACAACAGGACAGGCUUAAAAUGCCGCUGCACACUCCCUCGUUCCAUUUGAGAGGAUUACUCACGUCUUUCCGACAGCUUGGGAAUCUUAAUCCGCCACCUUAAUGAUGCCAGGUGAGGGGAGGGCAUGACGAAACUCCCUCCACCCAUGACGAACACCCCCCCAACUCCAGCCCUGCAUCAUCAGUGUUUACGCCUCAAUCAAUUACCCAUCAUAACCUGGGUGUUUGUGUCGGCGCCUCACUGGCUGGUUGAAGUCCCAAGCCACUUCUAAUUAACGACAUCUCCAGGUCAGGACUCACACAGGGAGAAAUCUUACAUCAGUCCAAUUGACUAAGAGUUUUUCCUAAUAAAAAAAUACAACUUUAAUUGAGAAAGAUUGUACUAACUAUACACACUCACUCAGUGUUAAAAAAUAUGAAAAAGACAUUACGCAACAUCCUAGCACACAGUUUAAGCCAUUGCAAAUGCAAGC